UGACAUUGCAUUAGGUACAUUUCUAAUACACACUGGAUAUAAAUGCAGUUACAUUAGGUACAUUUCUAAUACACACUGGAUAUAAAUGCAGUUGCAUUAGGUACAUUUCUAAUACACACUGGAUAUAAAUGCAGUUGUAUUAGGUACAUUUCGAAUACACACUGGAUAUAAAUGCAGUUACAUUAGGUACAUUUCUAAUACACACUGGAUAUAAAUGCAGUUGUAUUAGGUACAUUUCGAAUACACACUGGAUAUAAAUGCAGUUACAUUAGGUAAAUUUCUAAUACACACUGGAUAUAAAUGCAGUUGCAUUAGGUACAUUUCUAAUACACACUGGAUAUUUAAAUAAUGUUGAUAUUAGGUACAUUUGUAAUGUUUAAUGUGUGUUUUCACAGUGUUUAUG